GAAUAGGAUUGUUAAUAUUGUGUGUAUGUUUUUAUAAUGUACAUGUACCUUACAUGUCUGUAUGUGAGAAUGCAUAUGGUGAUGUGUUUGUGUUUUCCAGGACAUAGUUGGUCCAUGAUGACUGUUGGCUUACACACAGGCCCUGACAACAGCACUCUGCAGGAAGCUUUGCUGAGGUGUCCUCGCCUUCAGAGGACCCCGUUUGCUGUACACUCCUGAGAGCAGAGGCUAUCUGGAGCAGGAAAAAGAACAAGUUUUUGAUGUAAUAAACCAGGCCUCACACAAAACUCCACUUGGAGAGCAAGAGAGAAGCAGAAAUUGAAGGAAAAGAAUGGUCCACGUGAGGUGAGUUCCAACCAUGCUGCCAGGGGCAAGAGGAGCUCCCCCUAGUCCUUCCUCCUCCUUCUCCACAUCCUGUUGGCCAAACAGGUCUCUACCUGUCUAGGUGAGCCAAUAUCCCUGUUACACCUACACUUGU